AACGAACGCUGGCGACGUGCCUAAUGCAUGCAAGUCGCACGCAGUACCUUCGGGUGCUGAGUGGCGGACGGCUGAGGAACACGUGGGUAUCUGCCUUGCCGUGGGGGACAACGGGCCGAAAGGUCCGCUAAUCCCGCAUACGUUCCCCUCACGGGGAAGAAAGCAGCAAUGCGCGGCGAGAGGAGCCUGCGGCCCAUCAGGUAGUUGGCGGGGUAAUGGCCCACCAAGCCGGUGACGGGUCCCUGGUCUGAGAGGAUGGCCAGCCACAUUGGGACUGAGAUACGGCCCAGACUCCUACGGGAGGCAGCAGUGGGGAAUCUUGCGCAAUGGCCUAACGGCUGACGCAGCGACGCCGCGUGUGGGAUGAAGCUCUUCGGAGUGUAAACCACUGUUGCCCGGGACGAAUAGCUCGAUUAAUCGAGCCUGACGGUACCGGGUGAGGAAGCACCGGCUAACUCCGUG
rnacentral:rRNA from 1 species